CCAAUAGCGUAUAUUAAAGUUGUUGCAGUUAAAAAGCUCGUAGUUGAAUUUCGGGAUCAGUUGGUCGGUCGUGCUUAGGUACGUACUGGUCAAAUUGAUUCCUACCUUCUGAAGAACCACGAUGUCAUUAAUUUGGUGUCGUGGGGAAUCAGGACUGUUACUUUGAAAAAAUUAGAGUGUUUAAAGCAAGCUCGCGCUUGAAUACAUUAGCAUGGAAUAA
rnacentral:rRNA from 1 species